rnacentral:rRNA from 1 species
UACGAAGGGGGCUAGCGUUGCUCGGAAUCACUGGGCGUAAAGCGCACGUAGGCGGAUUGUUAAGUCAGGGGUGAAAUCCUGGAGCUCAACUCCGAAACUGCAUUCGAUACUGCCGUGCUUGAGGACUGGAGAGGAGACUGGAAUUUACGGUGUAGCGGUGAAAUGCGUAGAUAUCGUAAGGAAGACCAGUGGCGAAGGCGGGGUCUCUGGACAGUUCCUGACGCUGAGGCACGAAGGCCAGGGGAGCAAACGGG